rnacentral:rRNA from 1 species
UUUGAUCAUGGCUCAGGAUGAACGCUAGCGGCAGGCCUAACACAUGCAAGUCGAGGGGUAACAGGGAGCUUGCUCCGCUGACGACCGGCGCACGGGUGCGCAACGCGUAUGCAAUCUACCUCUUACUAAGGGAUAGCCCAGAGAAAUUUGGAUUAAUAUCUUAUGUGAUAUGUGACUGGCAUCGGUUACAUAUUAAAGGUUACGGUAAGAGAUGAGCAUGCGUCUCAUUAGUUAGUUGGUAAGGUAACGGCUUACCAAGACUUCGAUGAGUAGGGGUCCUGAGAGGGAGAUCCCCCACACUGGUACUGAGACACGGACCAGACUCCUACGGGAGGCAGCAGUGAGGAAUAUUGGACAAUGGACGGAAGUCUGAUCCAGCCAUGCCGCGUGUAGGAAGACUGCCCUAUGGGUUGUAAACUACUUUUAUACAGGAAGAAUAAGAUCUACGUGUAGAUUGAUGACGGUACUGUAAGAAUAAGGACCGGCUAACUCCGUGCCAGCAGCCGCGGUAAUACGGAGGGUCCGAGCGUUAUCCGGAAUUAUUGGGUUUAAAGGGUCCGUAGGCGGGCUGUUAAGUCAGAGGUGAAAUGCUGCGGCUCAACCGUAUGCACUGCCUUUGAUACUGGCGGUCUUGAGUUAUAGUGAAGUGGCUAGAAUAAGUAGUGUAGCGGUGAAAUGCAUAGAUAUUACUUAGAAUACCGAUUGCGAAGGCAGGUCACUAACUAUACACUGACGCUGAUGGACGAAAGCGUGGGUAGCGAACAGGAUUAGAUACCCUGGUAGUCCACGCCGUAAACGAUGGAUACUAGCUGUUCGGUUUUCGGACUGAGCGGCCAAGCGAAAGUGAUAAGUAUCCCACCUGGGGAGUACGUUCGCAAGAAUGAAACU